CCUACGGGGGGCUGCAGUGGGGAAUAUUGGACAAUGGGCGAAAGCCUGAUCCAGCCAUGCCGCGUGUGUGAAGAAGGCCUUCGGGUUGUAAAGCACUUUCAGUGGGGAAGAAAGCCUUGGGGCUAAUACCCUCGAGGAAGGACAUCACCCACAGAAGAAGCACCGGCUAACUCCGUGCCAGCAGCCGCGGUAAUACGGAGGGUGCGAGCGUUAAUCGGAAUUACUGGGCGUAAAGCGCGCGUAGGCGGUCUGAUAAGCCGGUUGUGAAAGCCCCGGGCUCAACCUGGGAACGGCAUCCGGAACUGUCAGGCUAGAGUGCAGGAGAGGAAGGUAGAAGUCCCGGUGUAGCGGUGAAAUGCGUAGAGAUCGGGAGGAAUACCAGUGGCGAAGGCGGCCUUCUGGACUGACACUGACGCUGAGGUGCGAAAGCGUGGGUAGCAAACAGGAUUAGAUACCCGGGUAGUC
rnacentral:rRNA from 1 species